GACGAACGCUGGCGGCGUGCCUAAUACAUGCAAGUCGAACGCUGAAGGAGGAGCUUGCUUCUCUGGAUGAGUUGCGAACGGGUGAGUAACGCGUAGGUAACCUGCCUGGUAGCGGGGGAUAACUAUUGGAAACGAUAGCUAAUACCGCAUAAUAGCAGUUAUUGCAUGAUAACUGUUUGAAAGGUGCAAUUGCACCACUACCAGAUGGACCUGCGUUGUAUUAGCUAGUUGGUGGGGUAACGGCUCACCAAGGCGACGAUACAUAGCCGACCUGAGAGGGUGGUCGGCCACACUGGGACUGAGACACGGCCCAGACUCCUACGGGAGGCAGCAGUAGGGAAUCUUCGGCAAUGGACGGAAGUCUGACCGAGCAACGCCGCGUGAGUGAAGAAGGUUUUCGGAUCGUAAAGCUCUGUUGUAAGAGAAGAACGAGUGUGAGAGUGGAAAGUUCACACUGUGACGGUAGCUUACCAGAAAGGGACGACUAACUACGUG
rnacentral:rRNA from 1 species